rnacentral:rRNA from 1 species
UAUACGACUCUCGGCAACGGAUAUCUCGGCUCUCGCAUCGAUGAAGAACGUAGCGAAAUGCGAUACUUGGUGUGAAUUGCAGAAUCCCGUGAACCAUCGAGUCUUUGAACGCAAGUUGCGCCCGAGGCCUUUCGGUCGAGGGCACGCCUGCCUGGGCGUCACGC